GACGAACCGUGCGAACGUUGUUCGGAAUCACUGGGCGUAAAGGGCGCGUAGGUGGUUUGAUAAGGGUGUGGUGAAAGCCCGGAGCUCAACUCCGGGUCUGCCGUGCCGACUGUCAAACUCGAGGGCUGUAGAGGCAGACGGAAUUCCGGGUGUAGCGGUGGAAUGCGUAGAGAUCCGGAGGAAGACCGGUGGCGAAGGCGGUCUGCUGGGCAGUUCCUGACGCUGAGGCACGAAGGCCAGGGGAGCAAACGGG
rnacentral:rRNA from 1 species